UCUCCUUUCCCCAAACCCAAGUAUCCAGUACCUUCCCGACUUCCCAGGAACCCUCCCUUAAGCUCUGUCCUAGAUUUUAGCUUUCUUCAUAAAAACUUGACUGACAUCUGUUCUAUUGCCUCCAGGCUUUGUCAGAUGACUAGAGUGAAAAAAAAAAUUUGUGCUUAGAUAUUAGUAAAUGAUAAUGACUUUAAUGUUCCUCAAGGAUCUAUAAUAUUUGAUGGUGUGGAGAUUCUCUCCACUAAUACAGAUUGCGACUCCUUUAUAACAUGGUAGAUAUUCUUCAGGAGUUGCUAUGGACAAAAAAUUCUUUUCUGGAGAAGAUCUUCUCCAAAGUGGGCUAGACUCGUCUGUGGACAACAGCUAUAUAAUCCAUCACUGGCCUGCACCCCAGUUUUUCUAGCUUGUUUGGGGCUUUGGUAUAUUCUUCCAGCAUCACCUUUGACAUCCGAAGAUUAUCAUCGACCUCCUUGAGAAUUCUGAGUAAGGUCUUUGGCUUCAGGCCCGUAUCUCAGAGGGAUGACACUAAAGGACUUUGAAGAACAAAGAGAUAUUUUAAAGUGUGUUGGGGACCCUUAAAUCAUGCCAGAGGCGGGGAGGAGUCUUUGAGAGGAGACCUGCUCUUAAUAUUCGGAUACUCUUCAAAAUUACCAGUGUGAAUGGAAAGGAAGGAAUUUGCAUGAGAGAAGUUGCCAAGGCAAAUCCAUACAAAUACUAUAUAAGCCAGAAGGGAUUGUCAAGUAUCCAUUUUUAAGAGUAAGUAUCCUCCAUCUCUAUAGAUCUAUAAGUUCAGUCACAUCAACUUUUAUUGUUUUUUGGGGAGGGAGGGGGUUCAGAUUAUUAUUUUAAAGUUUAUUGAAUAUAAAUAUUGCUAUUUUUUCAAAGUUAUGUAGUUGUUGUUGAGAUCAAUUACAUCCAAAUUCAUUUUAAAAAGUUACUGAAUUCUUUUCACUUUGG
rnacentral:lncRNA from 1 species